rnacentral:rRNA from 1 species
UACGUAGGGGGCAAGCGUUGUCCGGAAUCAUUGGGCGUAAAGAGCGUGUAGGCGGCCCGAUAAGUCCGCUGUGAAAGUCCAGGGCUCAACCCUUGGAUGCCGGUGGAUACUGCAGGGCUAGAGUCCGGAAGAGGCGAGUGGAAUUCCUGGUGUAGCGGUGAAAUGCGCAGAUAUCUGGAGGAACACCGGUGGCGAAGGCGGCAUCCUGGACCAACACUGACGCUGAGGAGCGAAAGCCAGGGGAGCAAAGCGGG